rnacentral:rRNA from 1 species
AUAUGCUUGUCCCAAAGCUUAAGCCAUGCAAGUGUGAGAUCAAUAGUAAAAAAUGCUAAAAUCUGCGAGAGGCUCCGUAUAUCUGUUAUAACCCACCACUAUCGAUAGCCGAGACGGAAUACCCCCGGUAAUUCUGAGGCUAAUACGAUUGAUGAAAUGAUAGGGGGUCUCCCCUUCCAGUGCCCUAUAAAAAACAGGGCAAGGGGGGGGGGUCGGUUGACCCUCGGUCUUGCGGCCUGAUCAACGCCCCACAUCCGGAGUCACCGGAGGGGACCGCGUGAAGGCCCGCAAGAGCACCUAGACCGGAAUAGCCCGGUUUAGGUGAAGGGAGUCAGACCUAUCAACUAGAGGGUUCGAGCGGGGCUCGCCCUGGUUAUAACGGGUACAGAGGAUCAGGGUUCGGUCCUGGAGAGGUAGCCUUAGAAAUCGCUACUACUUCUAAGGAAGGCAGCAGGCGCGCAACGUUCCCAAUGGGCACGCCCCUGAGGACGUGACGGGACAUAGCAAUACUGGACCCUAAUGGGUUCGGUAAUUGAAAUGGGGGGCCUUUAAAGCCCACCCCGAGUAACAAUUGGAGGACAAGUCUGGUGCCAGCACCCGCGGUAAUUCCAGCUCCGAUAGCGUCUCAUUAAGUUGCUGCAGUUAAAACGCUCGUAGUCCGAGUCGGUGCGGGGUUCGGGGGCUUAGUAGCUCUGCCGGGCCGGUGCGGGAAGAUAGGGGGUGGUGUGGCCCAGACGGGCCUCCCGCUCACCUCUCCCCUGCCGGCCCCGGAGCGAAGGCCCUCUUGAGCCCCCGCCAACUCGCCCUGAGGCCGGGUGGGGGGACCUUAAGUGGUCCACUCCGCCCCCCGGGGCACUCUACUUUGAAUAAACUCAAGCGCUCAAAGCCGCCCAUUUUUAGGGGCACCAAACGCUCACUCAGAUAUCAGCAAAGCAUAAUGGAAUAGGAUCCCUCUCCUAUCCCGUUGGUGUAUGAGGGGAUAAUGAUCGAUAAGGGGGAUCGGGGCCGGCCACAUGGCGGGGGUAGGGGUGAAAUCUAUUGAUCCCCGCCAGGUGAACUAAAGCGAAAGCAGCCGGCCAGUACCUUCCGUUUGAUCAAGAACGAAAGUCUGGGGAUCGAAGACGAUCAGAUACCGUCGUAGUCCAGACCCUAAAUUUUGCCGGCCAUGGAUGGGCGCUAGUCCAUCCCGACCCAGCCCGGACCUUAUGGGAAACCAUAAGCGUUUGGGCUCCGGGGGGAGUAUGGUUGCAAAGCUGAAACUUAAAGGAAUUGACGGAAGAGCACACCAGGAGUGGAGCCUGCGGCUUAAUUUGACUCAACACGGGGAAACUCACUGGGGCAAGAAAGGGGUAGGAUGGACAGCCCAUCAGGGCUUUCCUGAUUCCCUUAGUGGUGGUGCAUGGUCGUUCUUAGUUCGUGGAGUGAUUUGUCUGGUCUAUUCCGCUAACGAGCGAGAACCCAAUUUCCUGAGGUUAGGCCUUGCGGGCAGGUCGGCUCCCAGACGCCCCUUCCCCCCCUCGGGGGGGAGGGGGCUGAGGGUCCGGCGGGAACGUCCCUCGGCUCGAUCUGGGAGUACCGGCUCCGAUAAGGGGCUGGAAGCGGGUCAAUAACAGGUCAGUGAUGCCCUUAGAUGCUCCAGGCCGCACGCGCGCUACAAUGGGGAGAGCGACGGGUCGCCUGUGCCGAAAGGCGGCGGGUAAUCCUGAAAAGCUCCCCUUAACCGGGACAGGGGGGUGUAAAGCCCCUCUCGAACGAGGAAUUUCUAGUAGUUAUGGGUCACCAACCCGUAGCGAUUC